rnacentral:lncRNA from 1 species
GCAUUGAUCUUUUUAUGUACUGAUUCACGAGGACUUAAGCCUAUGAUGCAGUUGUUUUCCCAGUCUUGGGAGCUGGCAGAUGCCAUUACCCAGGUCAGGAGAUAGAACCUUGCCAGCUAUACCCUGAAGCUGUUCAAGUCUUUCUCCCAAUUACAGUCUUCAUAAGAGUUGUUAGAAGGACUGAAUGAGAUGAAGUAGAGGAAAGUCUUCUAGGACAGGGGUCCUCAACCCUUGGGCCACAGACUGGUGGCAGGAGGGCUGCACAGCAGAUGGGAUGCCUGGUUGCAAGAAAACAAGCUCAGGGCUCCCACAGAUUCUACGUGAUGCAGUUUUCACAGAUUUGUGGCCAGAUGCUAGAGACAAAGGCUGAGAAGUUGUCCAGGACGUCAUAUUCUUGCUUUGCUGGAGGCAGAUCUGAAGGAUGUCAUCUCUCCUGUGGCUUCUUCUAGUGUGGGGUCCCGAAGCCUGGCUUCCCCAGCCGAUGUGCUGCUUUAGUCAGCGUCUGCCCUGGUCCUUCGGUUCGCAGGCUCACACGCUUUUUUGGGUUGUGUCCCUUUGGACUGCAGAGGCUACGUGUCCUGUGACCAACCACGAAGGCGGCCACUCCCGCUCCCCUCAGGAGUGUCUUAAAAUACCUCCAUUUUAGCUACCCUAUUGAAUGACAGGUUAGCUGGGUGCUGGGUUUUCAGGUGAUGGACAUUUUCCCUCAGUCCUCUGAAGGUGUUGCUGGCUUCAGGCAUUGAUGCCGCCACUCUGAUUGUUGUAUGCAGUGAGCAAACUAGAAUUUUCUCUUGGCUUUCUAGAUUUUCUUCUUUAUAUUCUGAAACUUUAUUAUAUCAAGGUUUGAAUUUUAUUUUUUUUGGAGACAGGGUCCUACUCUGUCAUCCAGGCUGGAGUGCAAUGGUGCAGUCCUGCUCACUGCAGCCUCCAAGUCCAGGGCUGAAGCGAUCCUUCUGCCUCAGCCUCCUAAGUAGCUGGGAUCACAGGUGUGCACCACUCUGCCUAACAAGGCUUGUUUUUUGUUUGUUUGUUUGUUUUAAAUAAAUACAUUCAGAUUGUUUUGCCCCUUGA